UGCCUGCAAAUUCAGGUAGCUUUUUUGAUUUUACUUUCAGAGAAAUGCCAGCAAAAGCUGUAGUCAUUUGGGGAAGAACAAGCCUGGAAGAAAAAUACACAGCAGACCAGCACCAAGAGGGUCCAUCCAUGCUGUUGCAAAUGGUAAGAUUUCAUUCUUUUUCAUGGCCGAGUAAUAUUCCAUUACAUAUCUUGACCAUAUCUUCUUUAUCUAAACAUUCUCUUUUAAGUAGUUUGGUGUCCCUUAAAGAAGUUCAGAAAGUAAGUAUUCCUGAAGUAAAACACAAAAUCAUAGGAUAACAAGACAUUGGCUCAAGGCAGUGGAGCAAAUAGAACGAUACUAUCCACUAAGAAAGUUGCAGCUCCCUAUGUACAGAUGAAUAAGACGUGUGCCCCAAAUCACUCAGCUAAAAAGAACAAAGCCAUCAUCGAAAUUUAGUGGAUGUCAUAUCAGAAGCUACAUUCUUUCUUCUGACCCCGAGGUGCUGGGCCUUACUGGAAAUAGGGUCCUACAAAGACAAAAGACACCUCUCCCUGAGCUCAGCAGAAUUCAUGUUCCCAUCUCCAGUCACUCUUUGAGUGUCCAUGUGCCCCUGAGGGGACCUCCAUCACAUCCCUCUUCUAUGAACUCAGGUUCGUCAUCUGCAGUUUCCUGGUGAUAGUGCCGGAGUCCUGCUGCCACUCAGGGGCAGUUGAUACAGUUUACCGCCCAUUUAAUGAACACACAAACUCAAGUGGAGAGGAAAGGCAUGCUGGUCUCAAGAAGACAGUCAGACCACAGUCAGCAAACACCCAUUGGCUAUGGCUCUCUCCACCAAUGGUACCAUGUAGCCAAAGUGAGAAGGUAAAAAGUGGCCCAAACUUACAGGAGCCAAGAGUCACCCCUGCCUUGCCUUGUUGGCCAGCCCCCUGCUCAGACUACAAGGCAGGAGGUGUUUCUAGUAGAGACACCUCUGGUGUAAUCUGGGGAUUAUACACCAGAAUCCAAAACAAGAGUGAGCCGUUGCUUUCCUGCUUCCUGUUCCAGUUUCACAGGCCCCUGCCAGCUACUCAGGGAUAUUAGAACAGCGAUCUGUUUUGAGUUUGGAAAGGUGUGAUGUUUCUUUAUGUGGGGGUGUUCAAUUCAUCAGAAAACAAAAGCCAGCCUCCCGCGCUUGGUGGCGCAGCGUGGAAACGUAGCACAUCCCACUCUGACAUUUCCCUUCUGCCUCCUUCGCCCCAGGGCACUAGAUUGCGGUUUCCAGGUUGUUUUGCUUUUUCUUUCUUUCCGAUUGUUUUUACUCCUCGUGCCAAGUGUCUUAAGUCACAUUAACUAAAGAUCUAGUAUUUUUUUUAAGUAGCGCAGAAAGCUGGUCUCAGCCUCUUACCAGGACUGGACAAAUGGUUCUGCCAUGUGCUGCCUGCAUGCCCUGCCCAGGGGAGGCCGUUCCUGAUGCUCCCAGAGCCGUGGACUUCGACAGCCUUUUCCCCACACCUCCACGGCUCCAGUGCCCCAAUUUCAGAGGGUUAAAUCCACUGCCUCCUACUUAUUUCUCAGAGAAGUCUGCCUUCCCAGACUCAUCUUUUCGGGCCCUCCUAGCAGUGUCUCACUGGCAACCACCUCUCCCAGGGGCCCAAAGCUAUUUGUAUGACCAUUAAAAGUGUGAGAGACCUGGCUGGUGUAGCUCAGUGGAUUGAGCACGGGCCUGUGAACCAGACAAUUGCAGUUCGAUUCCCAGUCAGGGCACAUGCCUGGGUUGCAGACCAGUUCCCUGCAGGUCAAUUCCCAGCAGGGGAUGCAUGAAAGGCAACCAUACAUUGAUGUUUCUCUCCCUCUCUCCUUCCCUUCCCCUCUAAAGAUAA